GACGAACGCUGGCGGCGUGCUUAACACAUGCAAGUCGAACGGAAAGGCCUCUUUCGGGGGGUACUCGAGUGGCGAACGGGUGAGUAACACGUGAGUAACCUGCCCUUGACUUUGGGAUAACUUCAGGAAACUGGGGCUAAUACCGGAUAGGAGCUCCUGCUGCAUGGUGGGGGUUGGAAAGUUUCGGCGGUUGGGGAUGGACUCGCGGCUUAUCAGCUUGUUGGUGGGGUAGUGGCUUACCAAGGCUUUGACGGGUAGCCGGCCUGAGAGGGUGACCGGCCACAUUGGGACUGAGAUACGGCCCAGACUCCUACGGGAGGCAGCAGUGGGGAAUAUUGCACAAUGGGUGGAAGCCUGAUGCAGCAACGCCGUGUGCGGGAUGACGGCCUCGGUGUAA
rnacentral:rRNA from 1 species